CGUGAGUAUUUCUGUAUUCUUUUUGCAUUGUAUUAACUCAUAAAUUCGAAGUUCGUUAAGAAUGUCGAAAUAAUAAAUGCCGCUGCCACAUUAAGCCCCCAACGAACAGCAAUAACAACAACAAGAGCAGGAGCAGCGACAACAACAACAAAUGCAACAACUACUGCGAGCCAUCAACAAAACAAUGAACAAUCGAUUAAACACAAAAAGCAACAGCAGCCAACUGCAGAACAAAGACAAAAACGCCGACAAAAUGCCGAAGACCUCAACGCAUCCCAUUGGACAACAGAUGCAGCAGCAGCAGCAGCAGCAACAACAACAACAGCUAUAACAACAACAAAGCCAACAACCACAGUUACAACAACUAGCGCUGCACACCAAGCGAAAAUGAAAAUUUAUUAAAAAUCAACUCACAGUGAUAUGCAAGAAACCAGAAAGAACAAUAUAUAUGUAGAAGUAAAUAAUCCCAACUAUGAAUAUGCCCAAAACAGUUGAAAGUGAAGCUUAGCGGAGCUCAGUGACAGUUGUUGUUGUUGCCUUUUUGUUAUAUAUAUAUAUCUUACCCUUGUUGUUAUUGGUGCUGCAGCUGUUAAUGAUGAUGACAUACAAAAGACUUAGGCAACGAACUUGCUAGCUGCUACGCCUGCAUCGUAUAAGUUACCCGAUUGAAAGCAGUUCAAGUUAUUUUUGGACCCUGAUCGAAUUCCAAAAUAAACAAGUAAAA